GAGUGGUGAGCAACGCAGAAAGAGCCUCUCCGAGAUUUGCGGUCCGUACACUGAAAUAUAGCAGCGUGAGGAGGAGAAGGAGUAGGGAACUGGGUCCCCCAGACCCAGGAAGGACCUGGAGCUGGAUUGAAGUCUACAGGGAGUGACGAGAGAGACUUUGACAAAGAGGAGGGAGGUACUUAGCAGUGUUCUGUCCUGAAGCCCAGACUCUCAGUGAGGGAACAGCGGGCCAGACCUGCAGGUACCCAGUGACUACCGAUGACCCCAGAGGCCUCCACGGAGAAAGACGCCAGACGGCAGCGGCUGGCUGGUGACAUGUGACCUGAUGCCCUCUUCCUGAUAAACGCUGCUGCUCCCAGCCAUCCACAGUCAUGAAGCUAAGCAAGUGAUGCUCCAAAGGGCACGUGGUCACCCUGAAGUUAAAGCUGGGCUUCACCAUGAGCUCUCCACCAUGCCGUGCUGGCUCUCACAAGCCCAAAAACAAUGGGGCCAACUUUUCAUGAAAACACCAAGAC